rnacentral:rRNA from 1 species
AUGAUGAAAUUACUGGAAUUCAAUUUUCAGAUACAAUACAAGAAAGGCAUAGCAAACAAGGUGGCUGAUGCCUUGUCCAGAGUCCUGCCAUCUUGUUUUGCUAUAUCUGUAGCCACUCCAAUCUGGGCACAAGAACUGGUGGAAGGAUAUCAGAAGGAUCCAACUACUAAGGCAAUCCUGGAGAAGCUGCUGUUGCAACCAAACCAUACUAUGUCUGACUAUAGUCUGAAGGCUGGCAUUAUCAGAUAUAGAGGAAGAAUCUUAGUGGGAGAAUUUUCCAACUUAUGGCAGAGAUUAAUUACUGCUUUGCACAGUUCUCCAAUUGGUGGUCACUCUGGUACUAGGGCUACAUAUCAGAGAAUCAAGAACAUAUUCUAUUGGCCUGGCCUCAAAGCUGCUGUAGAAUCAUUUAUUACAGCUUGUCCAAUUUGCCAAAGAGCUAAACAUGAGAACUGCUUGCAGCCUGGUCUUCUAGAACCACUCCCAAUAGUUGACAUGGCCUGGCAUCAUGUAAUCAUGGAUUUUAUAGAAGGGCUGCCCAACUCUCAAGGCAACGAAGUCAUACUGGUUGUUGUGGACAGGUUUACAAAAUAUGCCCAUUUCAUUCCCCUGUCACAUCCUUAUAAUGUGAUGACUGUAGCCCAGGCCUUUAUGGACAACAUUAUCAGAUUGCAUGGCCCUCCCAAAGUCAUUAUAACAGACAGGGACAGAAUCUUUACAAGCAAGUUGUGGAAAGACAUCUUUGCAGGAAUGAAAAGUGAGUUGAGAUAUAGCACAGCCUAUCACCCACAAACUGAUGGUCAAACAGAAAGAGUAAACCAAUGUGUAGAAACCUAUCUCAGGUGCAUGACAACUUCUCACCCAAACAAGUGGUGUUCCUGGUUACCUCUAGCAGAAUUUUGGUACAAUACUACUUAUCACACUGCCUUGAAAAUGUCCCCCUUCCAAGCCUUAUAUGGAUUUCCUCCUCCAUUGAUUUCGGAACUAGCAAUACCAGGACCUGAUGAGGAAGAAGCACACAAUUUCCUAGCUGCUAAACAGCAAAUGAUGGAGCAACUGAAGGAAAAUCUACAGCAAGCUCAAAACAGAAUGAAAAAGUAUGCAGACCUUAAAAGAAGUGAAAGGAUGUUUGAAGUGGGAGAUAUGGUAUACUUAAAAAUGGCUCCCUACAGAUUAGCAGCUUUUGGAUUCCGAGGAGCCUUGAAGCUACAAAACAAGUAUUAUGGACCAUUCUUAGUUAUCCAGAAAGUGGGCAAGCUGGCAUACAAGUUACAGUUUCCUCCUCAUGUGCAAAUCCACCCUGUUUUUCAUGUCAGCCAGUUGAAAAAGCACAUUGGUCGUAAAUCUAUUCCAAGCCCUAAUCUACCAAUGGUAGCAGCGGAUGGAACUAUUAAAACAGGGCCAGAAGCAGUGUUGCAAGUGAGGCAAAUUCCCAGGCAUAAUCUCCCUGUGGUGCAGUGGUUUAUACAGUGGGAAAAUCUAUCUCCAGAAGAAGCAACAUGGGAGGAUGCGGACUUCAUCAAGUACACAUUUCCUGACUUUUUCAAGAUCACUACACAAGCAUGGCGCGCACAUCAACAAACGCCGUGA